AGGACGAACGCUGGCGGCGUGCUUAACACAUGCAAGUCGAGCGGAAAGGCCCUUCGGGGUACUCGAGCGGCGAACGGGUGAGUAACACGUGAGUAACCUGCCCUAGGCUUUGGGAUAACCCUCGGAAACGGGGGCUAAUACCGGAUAUUCAUGCUUGACGGCAUCGUUGGGUGUGGAAAGUUUUUCGGCCUGGGAUGGGCUCGCGGCCUAUCAGCUUGUUGGUGGGGUGAUGGCCUACCAAGGCGACGAC
rnacentral:rRNA from 1 species